ACGACCCGUUGGAUCCAAACCAUCAGCCCAAAAUAAUUAAGCCCAAUUAUUAUUAGUAGAGUGCUUUUGUCAUUCCGACCCUAACUUAGCCUGUCAUUCAUCAAUUCUGUCUUUGUCAUUCUGUCAUUCCGACACUGGCUCUAACUUAGCCUGUCAUUCAUCAAUUCUGUCUUCGUCAUUCUGUCAUUCCGACACUGGCUCAGCCAAUCAUUCAUCGAUUCUAUCUUUGUCAUUCUGUCAUUCCGACCCUGACUCAGCCAAAACUCAUAUCAUAUUUCCGAUUUUGUCUUAGUCUGUCAUUCAAACUCUGUUUCAGCCAAGACUCAUAUCAUAUUUCCGACUGGUGAACUGGUUCUGAUACUAAAUGUAACGACCCGACCCGAUAGCAAUAAUAAUUUUUUGGGCCCAAACCAUGGGCCAAAACAUUUAACCUCAAUUAUUAUUAUUAUUAUGCUGGAGUUCUCUUACAAACUCAAUGACAAUUCCAUUUUUAUCUGAUGUGGGACUAUUGGGAUGUCACAAGCCAUUCAUCAGAAAUACAACGAUAAUUUCUACCAAUGAA
rnacentral:lncRNA from 1 species